CUUUAUAAAUUAUAUUAAGGUCAUUUAUUCUAAAAUCAUCUGUUUGUGACCAUUAAUUUGGAUGUAAUUUUCACUUAUUUAGCUAUUAUGUAGUAAAUAUUACUAUAUGUAAUAUUAUAUUUUAUAAUUAGAUAUAAAACUAUACAUUAUAUAUUUUAAUAAGUUUAUAAAUAAUGUUUAUAACUAAAGGGAAUGUAUUUUCAUAUAUUUUUAAAAUAUAUAAUAAAUAAUUCAAUUUUAAAGGGAAAUGAAAUAAUUUCAAAGGGAAAAAUACUUUCUAAAGGAGAAAUCCAUCUAAGCCUAACUGGGCCUCCAGAGUUAAGAUCACUCUCUUUACAGAUGUUCAAGCUUCAACAAUACCUCCAUUGUGUAAAUAUAUUACAUGGGAAUAUUCCAAAGAGCAUCAUAACUUAUUCUAAAACGUUUUUUCCUGGAAAAAUUUCCUAAGUUUGUAGCAGUAGAAAGAGCUAUUCUCCAAAACUUUUUAUAGCAGUAAUAUCAAUGACAAGAGUUGGAAUGGCUAGAUGUAUCUCACAUUAAAAAUAACAAAUGAUACCACUAUGAUGUGCCACCUUACACUGGCCUGAAUGGCCAUCAUCAAAAAGUCCACAAACAAUAAGUGCUGGAGAAGGUCUGGAGAAAAAGGAACCCUACUACACUGUUGGUGGGAUUGUAAAUUGGUGCAACCACUGUGGAAAAUUCCUCAGAAAAUGAAAAAUAGAACUACCAUUUGAUCUAGCAAUCCCAUUCCUGGGCAUCUAUCCAGAGAAAACCGUGACUCAAAAAAGACACAUGUAUUCCAGUGUUCAUUGCAGCACUAUUUGCAAUAGCCAAGACAGGGAAACAACCUAAAUGUCUAUUGACAGAGGAGUGGAUAAAGAAUAAGUGGUACAUAUACACAAUGGAAUAUUACUCAGCCAUUAAAAGGAAAGAAAUACCAGCAUUUUUAGCAACAUGGAUGAACCUAGAAAUUAUUAUGCUAAGUGAAGUCAGUCAGACAAUGAGAUACUAACAUCAAAUGCUUUCACUGACAUGUGGAAUCUGAAAAAAGGACAUAAUAAACUUCUUUGCAGAACAGCUACUGACUCACAGACUUUGAAAAACUUAUGGUUUCCAAAUGAAACCAAUUGGAGGUGGGGGGAUGCACUGAGGGUUUGGGAUGGAAAUGCUGUAAAAUUUGGUUGUGAUGAUUGCUGUACACUUAUAAGUGAAAUAAAAUUUAUUAAGUAAUUUAAAAAAUAAAAAUAUAUCCUGGCAAUAAAAAAUAAUAACAAAUUAUUUCUGCCCAUUGAAAUAAUAAAUCUCUAAAUACACUUAUGUCUGAGCACAAAAAACCUAAAGGUUCAAACAUUAUUCAGGAUAAAAUAGUGAGAUUAUGAGUGGUUUAGAAAUAUUUAAUUUUUAAAUCAUUAAUUUUAUUUAAUUUAUCAACUUACAAUAUGUGUAAAUAAGUGAUUUUAACAUUUUAUGUAUAUAAAUACUACAUUAAUUUGGCUUAGAAAAUAUUUUCAGUAUAUCUGCAUUUGUGGCAUAAUUUAAAACCCUCACUAUUCUUUCCUUGAAUCUUCUGAGCAUAGAAUACAGAGAGAAAGAAAAAUAAACUUCUGUUCACUCACUCAGCCACUCAACAUAAAGUUACUAACCAGGUUUAUGUUCAGGACAUGCAAAGGAAUUUGAAUAAGAAUCCUCAUUUGUACAUGCGGGUUAUAUCCACUUUUGUUUCCAUGUUCUAAUGCAAUUUGUGUGACCAAACCCCAGGAUGUAUGCACCUCUGAGCACUCGUGCCUCUGGCUAAUGCUUGUGUUCAGGUGUCUUUCCUAAUGUGUAUCAUAGCCAAUUUGAAAGUGGUUGGGCAGUCAUGAGUAUAUCAACUUUACACCAUUAAAUACACAAAAUGCAAUUAUACCACUCCUUUGGAAACAACUGAUGUAUGAAAAAUGCUUCUUGGUCUUGUGUGAUUAUACACAAGUCUUCUAAUCAAAGCUUACUUCACCAUUCAUAUUUGCAUCCAUUGCAAGAGACAAGUAGAUUUAUUAUACACAUACUUCAAAGAUACAUAUAAAAUAGGCCCAUUUUAUUAAAGUUAGAAUAAUUCUCGAUCAUCAUUAGAUAUAAUAUGUAGAUUUUGGAAUAAGAGAAUGAAACAGAAACAUAAUAAUGUGGAACAAAAUAAUGAAAAGUGUUCAACAAAUCUUUUGUUUCUGUUUACAUUCACUAUAGCAGUUAAAAUUGCUAGAGCCUAUUCAAAGUCACUGGAAAGUAAAAAGCACUAUAACCAAUAGUUGAAUUUCUUUUAAGUAAUAGCUACCCACUGGGAAAAGAACUGUAUCACAUUUCUUUUCUAUGUAAACAAUUUGAGAAAGGAGAAAUCAGCUAGUGUACAAUCUAUAAAAUUGUUAUUUUUUGUGGGGUGAUGGGGGUGUGUAAGUACAUAUUGGUUUGCUUUGUAUUAUAUUGUUAUCCAGGAAAUAUGCUAACCAUGUACCUCCAGUCCUUGCAAUAACUCCAGUCCCUUUCACAUAUAUGGCUACUAAAUAUAUUUUACUUAGAUAACUCAUUGAUAUCUCAGAGACAGCAUGCACAAACCAGAAUUAUUUUAAAAAACUGAUGGAGGUAUUUUCCUUUUCUGGGCAUCCCUCUUCUUAUCUCAAAAACAGGGAUAAUAAUACUGGCCCUAUUUAUGCAAUUGCUAAAAGAAUAAAAUUAUAAUUAUAAAUAUAAAGUUAUAAUUUUAACUUUAAGUUAAGUAGGGAUAGUAUAUAUGUGUGAGUGUGUAAAUACACACAUAUAUGUGUAUGUAUAUUCAUGCAUAUAUAUACAUACAUGUAUAUACACACAUACAUAUAUGCACAUAUAUUCAUAUAAACAUAUAUAUAUAGUUGUAGAAACAUAAAAAAUGCUAUACCUCUCUAGAUAGUGUAACUGUUCAACAACAAAAAUCUGUGCUAUUGUAGAAUCUUCAUUUUCUGAUGCCCCUGAGUGGUUCUACAGUUUGUUCAUCUUCAGCUUUGACUCUUCCUCCUCAGUAUACUCAGGGCACCAGUUCUGAUAUAAACUCCUGCCCAAUUUGAGUGGCAAGGACCCCAGGAAACUGCAGAGGCCCAGGCCCUCCUUCCUCUAAUCUUGCAUCUUUAUGUCACCUGUUGCAGCCUAAAUCUUGAAGGCCUCCUCUUGGCCCUUCCUGGGUCACCAAAUUUGGGAGGAUGUCAGCCUUGAGUGAGUCCCACCAUCAAAUUAAAACUCCAGGGGACACCUCCAAGACAGAAUUGAAAAGAACUUAUAACUUGUACUGAACAUGUCUCAGUUGGGUUUCUCAUUUAAAAUAGCAUUUUCUAUACCUUCUCCCAUAUAUCAAUUCCACCUCCUCCUUCCAGCAAGCACCUCUCCCUACUUCAUUGUUGCUGUCCAAAGCAAUCUGGACACCUGAAAUAAACUUCCUUCACACUCAAAAUGCAGCAUCCAAUCUCAUCAAUUCCCCUAUUCUUAUAUAUCCUCUUAUAUACUUCCCAAUGUAACAGAAUCAGCACUGCCUAUCUGCUCUCAUCUAGCCAAUGCUGAAUAUAUAAUAUAAAAUGCCUGUUACCCAACCCAUCUUCACCACAGGCAGCUAAGGACUUCCCUUCUAAAACGGUGAAUUCUCCAAUUUUAGCAUGCACCCUAAUCACAGCGGGCUCUGGGGAGGGCGCUUGUUAAAACACAGGUUGUGGGAGUUCCCGUCCUGGCUCAGGGGAAACAAAUCCAACUAGUAUCCAUGGGGAUACAGGUUGAAUCCUGUAUCAGUGGAUAAAGGAUCGGCAUUGCCAUGAGCUGUGGUGUAGGUCACAGACACAGCUCAGAUCUGGUAUUGCUGUGGCUAUGGCAUAGGCUGGCACCUGCAGCUCUGAUUAGAUCCCUAGCCUGGGAACUUCCACUUGCCUCAGGUGCAGCCCCAAAAAAACAAACAAAGCAGGUUGCCUGCCUCAACAUUUAUGAAUUAGAAGAUGUGGGGUCAAGCCCUAGAAUUUGCCUUCCUAAAAAGUUCCUGUAUGAGGUUAAUGGUGCUGGUGCUGGAAACACACUUUUAGAAAUAUUGCUGUAAUACAGUUCUCAACUCCUCUUCCAAGAUUUCAAAGCUGUCCUUUACCUUAGGCUGCCAUACUCAUUUUAUCACACUUGAUGAAUACUUCUCUUUUCAGACAAACAUGGAUAUAGAGUGAGUUACACAUCAGGUUUAAGGCCCCUAACUUGUCCAAGUCUCUUCCAGGGCUUAGUAAUUAACAUGUAUUCUUUUUCUUAAAAAGAGCCCUAAAAUAUAUGUUUCAAGUCACACAAAGUCUGGAUCUUCUCUCACUGCUAGGCAUCUAGGGCUUUUCAUUGAUUUAUGUGAGUGUUAAACUUCUUUUCAUUUAUGUGCCCUGUCUGUUCUGUCCCAAAUAGCUAGUAAGUCCUCCAGCCCUCACUCUGCACAUGCUUCUCUCUCACAGAAAAUUCCACCCAUCCUUCACUAUCAAGAUCAUUUCUUUAU
rnacentral:lncRNA from 1 species